rnacentral:rRNA from 1 species
GGAGUCUGGGCCGUGUCUCAGUCCCAAUGUGGCCGUCCGCCCUCUCAGGCCGGCUACUGAUCGUCGCUUUGGUGGGCCGUUACCCCGCCAACUGGCUAAUCAGACGCGGAGCCAUCUCACACCGAUAAAUCUUUUCCCUCAAUACCAUGCGGUACCGUGGGCUUAUGCGGUAUUACCAGCCGUUUCCAGCUGCUAUCCCCCUGUGUGAGCCAGGUUCUCCACGCGUUACUCACCCGUCCGCCACUAAGUUAUGUUUCCAUCAUCCGAAGAAUCUUUCCACAUAACUCCGUUCGACUUGCAUGUGUUAGGCACGCCGCCAGCGUUCAUC